rnacentral:piRNA from 1 species
UACAAGCACUUUGUCGGUCCAGCCACCU